rnacentral:rRNA from 1 species
GGGUUGUGAGGUUAAGCGACUAAGCGUACACGGUGGAUGCCCUGGCAGUCAGAGGCGAUGAAGGACGUGCUAAUCUGCGAUAAGCGUCGGUAAGGUGAUAUGAACCGUUAUAACCGGCGAUUUCCGAAUGGGGAAACCCAGUGUGUUUCGACACACUAUCAUUAACUGAAUCCAUAGGUUAAUGAGGCGAACCGGGGGAACUGAAACAUCUAAGUACCCCGAGGAAAAGAAAUCAACCGAGAUUCCCCCAGUAGCGGCGAGCGAACGGGGAGCAGCCCAGAGCCUGAAUCAGUGUGUGUGUUAGUGGAAGCGUCUGGAAAGGCGCGCGAUACAGGGUGACAGCCCCGUACACAAAAAUGCACAUGCUGUGAGCUCGAUGAGUAGGGCGGGACACGUGGUAUCCUGUCUGAAUAUGGGGGGACCAUCCUCCAAGGCUAAAUACUCCUGACUGACCGAUAGUGAACCAGUACCGUGAGGGAAAGGCGAAAAGAACCCCGGCGAGGGGAGUGAAAAAGAACCUGAAACCGUGUACGUACAAGCAGUGGGAGCCUCUUUUAUGGGGUGACUGCGUACCUUUUGUAUAAUGGGUCAGCGACUUAUAUUCUGUAGCAAGGUUAACCGAAUAGGGGAGCCGAAGGGAAACCGAGUCUUAACUGGGCGUUAAGUUGCAGGGUAUAGACCCGAAACCCGGUGAUCUAGCCAUGGGCAGGUUGAAGGUUGGGUAACACUAACUGGAGGACCGAACCGACUAAUGUUGAAAAAUUAGCGGAUGACUUGUGGCUGGGGGUGAAAGGCCAAUCAAACCGGGAGAUAGCUGGUUCUCCCCGAAAGCUAUUUAGGUAGCGCCUCGUGAAUUCAUCUCCGGGGGUAGAGCACUGUUUCGGCAAGGGGGUCAUCCCGACUUACCAACCCGAUGCAAACUGCGAAUACCGGAGAAUGUUAUCACGGGAGACACACGGCGGGUGCUAACGUCCGUCGUGAAGAGGGAAACAACCCAGACCGCCAGCUAAGGUCCCAAAGUCAUGGUUAAGUGGGAAACGAUGUGGGAAGGCCCAGACAGCCAGGAUGUUGGCUUAGAAGCAGCCAUCAUUUAAAGAAAGCGUAAUAGCUCACUGGUCGAGUCGGCCUGCGCGGAAGAUGUAACGGGGCUAAACCAUGCACCGAAGCUGCGGCAGCGACGCUUAUGCGUUGUUGGGUAGGGGAGCGUUCUGUAAGCCUGUGAAGGUGUGCUGUGAGGCAUGCUGGAGGUAUCAGAAGUGCGAAUGCUGACAUAAGUAACGAUAAAGCGGGUGAAAAGCCCGCUCGCCGGAAGACCAAGGGUUCCUGUCCAACGUUAAUCGGGGCAGGGUGAGUCGACCCCUAAGGCGAGGCCGAAAGGCGUAGUCGAUGGGAAACAGGUUAAUAUUCCUGUACUUGGUGUUACUGCGAAGGGGGGACGGAGAAGGCUAUGUUGGCCGGGCGACGGUUGUCCCGGUUUAAGCGUGUAGGCUGGUUUUCCAGGCAAAUCCGGAAAAUCAAGGCUGAGGCGUGAUGACGAGGCACUACGGUGCUGAAGCAACAAAUGCCCUGCUUCCAGGAAAAGCCUCUAAGCAUCAGGUAACAUCAAAUCGUACCCCAAACCGACACAGGUGGUCAGGUAGAGAAUACCAAGGCGCUUGAGAGAACUCGGGUGAAGGAACUAGGCAAAAUGGUGCCGUAACUUCGGGAGAAGGCACGCUGAUAUGUAGGUGAAGUCCCUCGCGGAUGGAGCUGAAAUCAGUCGAAGAUACCAGCUGGCUGCAACUGUUUAUUAAAAACACAGCACUGUGCAAACACGAAAGUGGACGUAUACGGUGUGACGCCUGCCCGGUGCCGGAAGGUUAAUUGAUGGGGUCAGCGCAAGCGAAGCUCUUGAUCGAAGCCCCGGUAAACGGCGGCCGUAACUAUAACGGUCCUAAGGUAGCGAAAUUCCUUGUCGGGUAAGUUCCGACCUGCACGAAUGGCGUAAUGAUGGCCAGGCUGUCUCCACCCGAGACUCAGUGAAAUUGAACUCGCUGUGAAGAUGCAGUGUACCCGCGGCAAGACGGAAAGACCCCGUGAACCUUUACUAUAGCUUGACACUGAACAUUGAGCCUUGAUGUGUAGGAUAGGUGGGAGGCUUAGAAGUGUGGACGCCAGUCUGCAUGGAGCCGACCUUGAAAUACCACCCUUUAAUGUUUGAUGUUCUAACGUUGACCCGUAAUCCGGGUUGCGGACAGUGUCUGGUGGGUAGUUUGACUGGGGCGGUCUCCUCCUAAAGAGUAACGGAGGAGCACGAAGGUUGGCUAAUCCUGGUCGGACAUCAGGAGGUUAGUGCAAUGGCAUAAGCCAGCUUGACUGCGAGCGUGACGGCGCGAGCAGGUGCGAAAGCAGGUCAUAGUGAUCCGGUGGUUCUGAAUGGAAGGGCCAUCGCUCAACGGAUAAAAGGUACUCCGGGGAUAACAGGCUGAUACCGCCCAAGAGUUCAUAUCGACGGCGGUGUUUGGCACCUCGAUGUCGGCUCAUCACAUCCUGGGGCUGAAGUAGGUCCCAAGGGUAUGGCUGUUCGCCAUUUAAAGUGGUACGCGAGCUGGGUUUAGAACGUCGUGAGACAGUUCGGUCCCUAUCUGCCGUGGGCGCUGGAGAACUGAGGGGGGCUGCUCCUAGUACGAGAGGACCGGAGUGGACGCAUCACUGGUGUUCGGGUUGUCAUGCCAAUGGCACUGCCCGGUAGCUAAAUGCGGAAGAGAUAAGUGCUGAAAGCAUCUAAGCACGAAACUUGCCCCGAGAUGAGUUCUCCCUGACUCCUUGAGAGUCCUGAAGGAACGUUGAAGACGACGACGUUGAUAGGCCGGGUGUGUAAGCGCAGCGAUGCGUUGAGCUAACCGGUACUAAUGAACCGUGAGGCUUAACCUUACAACGCCGAAGCUGUU